CCUACGGGAGGCAGCAGUGGGGAAUUUUGGACAAUGGGCGAAAGCCUGAUCCAGCAAUGCCGCGUGAGUGAAGAAGGCCUUCGGGUUGUAAAGCUCUUUUGUCAGGGAAGAAACGGUGAAGGCUAAUAUCCUUCGCUAAUGACGGUACCUGAAGAAUAAGCACCGGCUAACUACGUGCCAGCAGCCGCGGUAAU
rnacentral:rRNA from 1 species